GUGCGCUAGGUGGGGAGUUAGCGGUGCCCUGUAACCCGCAAUCCGCUAUAGCGGGACUGAAUUCCUGCAUGAGAAUACCGAUCUUUUUAAUGAGAGAUCGAUAAGUGGUGUUGAGAAUCAAGCCCAACGCAAUUAUAAACUGUGAACUUUGUCAGAUCCGGAAGGAAGCAGCAAUAAGCAGAACUUAUGAUGUGCCGUUGGUCAACUUGGUUUGAGCUAACUGUCGAUUUCAGUUAGAAAUAAGUAUCGAUUGCAGGUGCGCAC
rnacentral:SRP_RNA from 1 species